rnacentral:rRNA from 1 species
GCUAGUAAUGGCAGGUCAGCAUACUGCCGUGAAUACGUUCCCGGGCCUUGUACACACCGCCCGUCACACCAUGAGAGUUGGGGAUACCCAAAGCCCGUGAGCCAACUUUAAAAGAGGCAGCGGUCUAAGGUAGAAUCAAUGAUUGGGGUGAAGUCGUAACAAGGUAGC